GGUCCGAUAGCGUAAUGGUAACGCGUUACUUUCCGGUUUAGAACGCAUCCUAUUCCCUUCUGGUAAAGACUCUGGGUUCGAGUCCCAGUCGGAUCG